GUUUAAGAAAAUCUAGAGGACUUUGUAUUAUGGCCAACUUUUUGUCAUUUGUGACUUUCCUUGGAAUUGCAUCGCUAGCACUUGCGAUGCCGCAGCUUCCACUUAAAAAUUGUCCAGGAGGAUGCAAGGGCUGGCAACUAUCUUAAUAAAAGCCUUUACCUAGCAAGAACAACCUUUUAAGAACAUUUUCAAAUUCAACGCACUAUGUGAACUCUUGCUAAUAAAAGACUGAUCUUAA